AGACACCCUGUGAAGCCAUGACAAGAGAGCAGUGAAGUGAAGUGAUCAUUUAAUCGUUAACCAAGCAUGAAGUCGACAGAUGCCAACACUGCCAGAAUGCAUCUGUUGUGGAUGGCACAAGCAAGAGAAUUUAGAGAGAUGAUUAUGCACAAGGGUAUCCUAGCCACUGCAAGGGCAUUCAGAAAUGACCUUUUGAUCAUGGAUGAAGACUAAGAUAUAAGCAAAACUAACCACCAUGAUGUGUAAUCAUGUGUAUACAUGUAGGCAAUUCAUUUUAUGGCAGCAUGGUCAUUUAGAAGCUGGCUUCAGUUUCCUAAUCCUUAUGUUAAAGGGACAUGCUGGUACUGGCCAGUUCCAGCCUUGUCCACAAUCAAGGUUCACUCAUGUUCAUUGACAACAUGGCAUAAUAAGCUACUCCAUAUUCCCUGUAAUGAGAAUAAAUAUAAAACUGUC